UACGUAGGGUGCGAGCGUUGUCCGGAAUUAUGGGGCGUAAAGGGCUCGUAGGCGGUCUGUCACGUCGGGAGUGAAAACACGGGGCUUAACCCCGUGCCUGCUUCCGAUACGGGCAGACUAGAGGUAUGCAGGGGAGAACGGAAUUCCUGGUGUAGCGGUGAAAUGCGCAGAUAUCAGGAGGAACACCGGUGGCGAAGGCGGUUCUCUGGGCAUUGCCUGACGCUGAGGAGCGAAAGUGUGGGGAGCGAACAGG
rnacentral:rRNA from 1 species